GCGGAGCCAGGCGGGGAGGAGGGUGUGCAUCCUUCCGCGUCCGCCCCGCGCGCCUUUUGGUCCUGGGAUCUAACCGGAAGAAAGUGGGCAAAGGAGUCCUCCGGGAGUGUCCCGUGGAUCGACUUUGCGUCCCUCAGGGUCCACAGCACACUGACCACUUCCUGGACUCUGCUCAGGGUCUAAGUCUUGGCCAUCGUUAUUGCCCCAGGGACUCUGUUGUACUCUCAACACUGGAAUUGUCCUCCUCAGUGGCUGCCCCACUUGGCUACCCAUAGGUCUGGGCCUGGGCUCACCCCAGCAACAACCCUGAUGAGAUCGUCUUCAGGACGUAUUUAUAACACAUCAGUUCUGCCUAUGAUCCUGGAUAAUGUGCAGAGCCAGUGAGCCGCCUAUGGCCUGCCUCAGGAGACAAGCCUCAGCCACUUUGAUCUCACCUUGUACCUAAAUGGAAAGGCAAUCAGCCUCCCGCUGAAGGGCCCCCACGUCUGUCUCCUGUUUCCACGCCAUUACCCCAGGAGAUGCCUGGCUUCCCAUUUCCAGUUCCAGUUGCUGUGACAGUUUCAGCCUCUCCCCUCAGCCCACGUCCCUCGCUUGAGCAGCGAGAUGUGAAGACUGACAGCCACUUGAGAACUGCACAGACUGUCCCCAA